GGGUAAUGGUGCCUGUCGUCUGGAGUCUGUCCCUCCAUCUGGACCGGGGCAGCCUCGGGGACGACGACCGCUUGAGGAAUCCAAUAAUGUUGAUUAAGUGAUGACAAUAUAAUUACAGCGAUGGCACAGGGUGUCUCCCUUCCUGCCGCC